rnacentral:rRNA from 1 species
UACGUAGGGUGCGAGCGUUGUCCGGAAUUAUUGGGCGUAAAGGGCUCGUAGGCGGUCUGUUGCGUCGGGAGUGAAAACUCAGGGCUUAACCCUGAGCCUGCUUCCGAUACGGGCAGACUAGAGGUAUGCAGGGGAGAACGGAAUUCCUGGUGUAGCGGUGAAAUGCGCAGAUAUCAGGAGGAACACCGGUGGCGAAGGCGGUUCUCUGGGCAGUAACUGACGCUGAGGAGCGACAGCGUGGGGAGCAAACAGG